CCCGUUUUUCUAAAAAAAUAAAAAUCCACCCAAGCCCCGAUCCAGAUCCCCUCCACCGCAACCUCCUUCCACCUCCUCUCUUCUCCCAAUCCGCUGCAGCCGGCCGGCCUCCCCCUCGCCCCUCCAACCCCCUCCGACCGCUGCAGCCGGCCGGCCAGGCCGCCGCGGUGCUGCCCUACCCCUCCCUCCAUUUCCUGCCCGAGGACCGCGUCGGCCUCGUCAAUGCCCUGAAGGACAAGCUGCAGAGCCUGUCGGGGCAGCACGCAGACGUGCUCGAGUCGCUCUCGCCCAAUGUCAGGACGCGUGUUGAGUUUCUGAGGGGCAUUCAGAGUCAACAUGAUGAGAUUGAGGCGAAGUUUUUCGAGGAACGGGCUGCCCUUGAAGCCAAGUACCGGAAGCUGUAUGAACCAUUGUAUGCUAAGACGUAUGACAUUGUACAUUGUAAAUGGAGUUGUGGAGGUUGAUGGUGUUGCUAAAGAACGAACCAGUGAAAAUGCCGCUGAGGGGGAGAUUCAGAUGCUAAAGGAGUCCCAGAUUUUUGGCUCAUUGCUUUGAAAACAAAUGAAGUGAUGACUGAGGAGAUCCAAGAGCGUGAUAAGCCUGUUUUGAAAUAUCUAAAGGAUAUCAAGUGGUCUAGAAUUGAUGACCCUAAGGGGUUCAAGCUUUUGACCGCCCGCGCCGCCGCCGAAUCCGGCAGCAAGCGCACCUGCGCGGCCGAGUUGCACAACCUCUCCGAUAAGCGGCGGAGGAGCAGGAUCAACGAGAAGAUGAAGGCGUUGCAGAGCCUGAUACCCAAUUCCAACAAGGUCGGCACCACAAAACCAACAAGGCAUCCAUGCUUGACGAGGCCAUUGAGUAUCUGAAGCAACUGCAGCUCCAAGUAUAGGAUAAUGAGAUGUUGAAGCCGCAGAGUGAAUCCAUGAGACUGUAGUGCAAUUGCACCGUUCCAUUGAAGAUUAGCUCUAUUUUUCCUUUUCAUUUUUCUUACUAUUGGAGUGAGGACAUGUAGAAUGAGAAACUGUGUGAUAGUAGAUAUGGCAACUGUGUGAUAGUAGAUAUCAGGAAUAAGGACAUUUCCAUCACUAUUGUGUUUUCUCGGAAUUGUAUGCAUAAAAUGGAAUUGGUCGAUUUUUUU